rnacentral:misc_RNA from 1 species
GAGCCGCCUUCCGGUUGAUUCAGGCGGCGGUUCCCGCAUUGACGGCGAGCGGUGGUGGUCGCAUCGUGAACGUGGCCUCGCCGGCGGGCCGAGAACGGAGUCCCUUGGCGGGGGCCGACUACGUGGCGGCAAAGGCGGGGGUGCUGGGGUUGACGCGACAGUUGGCUUGGGACCUGGGGCCGGUGGCGAUCACCGUCAACGCGGUGGCGCCGGGCGUCACACUCACCGACCGCGUCCGGCGGCGCUGGCAGUCGCGAAGUCCCGAGGACCGGGAGGCGAUCCUGGAGAGCAUUCCCCUGCGAAGGCUGGCGGCGGUGUCGGAGGUCGUCUCGGUGAUCACCUUCCUGGCCUCGGACGAGGCGUCGUACCUCACGGGAGUGACGAUCGACGUCAACGGCGGCCGCUACAUGGCCUGAGCCGGAU